rnacentral:rRNA from 1 species
GUGGGGAAUAUUGCGCAAUGGGCGGAAGCCUGACGCAGCGACGCCGCGUGAGGGAUGAAGGCCUUCGGGUUGUAAACCUCUUUCAGCUCCGAAGAAGCGAGAGUGACGGUAGGAGCAGAAGAAGCACCGGCUAACUACGUGCCAGCAGCCGCGGUAAUACGUAGGGUGCAAGCGUUGUCCGGAAUUAUUGGGCGUAAAGAGCUCGUAGGCGGCUCGUCGCGUCUGCUGUGAAAGCCCGGGGCUUAACCCCGGGUCUGCAGUGGGUACGGGCGGGCUAGAGUGCGGUAGGGGAGACUGGAAUUCCUGGUGUAGCGGUGAAAUGCGCAGAUAUCAGGAGGAACACCGGUGGCGAAGGCGGGUCUCUGGGCCGUAACUGACGCUGAGGAGCGAAAGCAUGGGUAGCGAACAGGAUUAGAAACCCGAGUAGUCC